UUGCACGCUGGCGGCAGGCCUAACACAUGCAAGUCGAGCGGAUGAAGGGAGCUUGCUCCUGGAUUCAGCGGCGGACGGGUGAGUAAUGCCUAGGAAUCUGCCUGGUAGUGGGGGAUAACGUCCGGAAACGGGCGCUAAUACCGCAUACGUCCUGAGGGAGAAAGUGGGGGAUCUUCGGACCUCACGCUAUCAGAUGAGCCUAGGUCGGAUUAGCUAGUUGGGGGGGUAAAGGCCUACCAAGGCGACGAUCCGUAACUGGUCUGAGAGGAUGAUCAGUCACACUGGAACUGAGACACGGUCCAGACUCCUACGGGAGGCAGCAGUGGGGAAUAUUGGACAAUGGGCGAAAGCCUGAUCCAGCCAUGCCGCGUGUGUGAAGAAGGUCUUCUGAUUGUAAAGCACUUUAAGUUGGGAGGAAGGGCAGUAAGUUAAUACCUUGCUGUUUUGACGUUACCAACAGAAUAAGCACCGGCUAACUUCGUG
rnacentral:rRNA from 1 species